AAAAAAAAAAGCAGUGGAGAUGCCGGGGAUUGAACCCGGGGCCUCAUACAUGCAAAGCAUGCGCUCUACCACUGAGCUACAUCCCCAGACGCUAAUACCCCUUUCCAUGAAUGGUGAUACAGGAAAUCAGGCCUUCGCGCUGCUUACGUAUGUUCCAAGCACAUUUCCUCGUUCCUGAAUGUUCUGCGCCUCCACCCCCUCAGGGGGGGCAUGUCCGCGGUCCGGGAGGCGGCCCACUGUCAGAGACACCGCCCUUGUGAGGAGCCUGAUCUUGAAUGAUAGCCCAAGCGUAAAGUCGCUAUAUGGGACCAUCUGCACAGCAGCAGUCUAGGACGCUAGAAGUCAGAAUUCAGGGCACCAACUCCAGGGGAAGGUUUCCUGUCUCUGUGGACUCUAGGAGAAGGUCCUUGUCAUCAAUCAACCCCAGUCAAGGAGAUUCUCAGCACAGGGACUCCGCGUCGAAAGGACUUGCUGUGCCCCCGGUUGAAGGCAAGGUAACUCAGCAGUUCCAGCCAUCACAUGUUCCACGGAAAUGAAAGGUAACAUCUCUUUCUUGUGACUCUUAUUAACCAAACCAAACCAACUGCUGUCCAGUUGAUCCCAACUCAUGGUGACCCCAUGUGUUUUAGAGUAGAACUGUGCUCCAUAGGGUUUUCAAUGGCUAAGAUCUUUGGGACGUAGAUGGCCAGGCAUUUCUUCUGAGCUGCCUCUAGGUGGACUCAAACCUCCAGCCUUUCAGUUAGUAGCCAUACACUUUACCUUUUGUGUCACCCAGGGACUCUGUGACUCUUACUAGGAGCAAGAAAAUCUUUCCCAGGAGUCCCCUUGAGCAGACUUGUCUUCAUUGUCCAGAAUUGGGUCACAUGCCCAUUUUUUGUUGUUGAAAUUGUAUAAGCUUUUUUUUUAGUGCUAUUUUUCCUCUUGUAUUUAGAAUACAAGUUUUAGGACAGGGAACAGAUUCAGACACACACCUCUCUUCCUCAGAGAUGGUCAUAGAAAAACAGGACAUAUUUAUAAACCGUCAGAUUGAUCUUAAAAUGUGUAGAAAACCCCGAACUCCAGGGAGUAAAGGGUGAAGCUGGUUAGGAUAGACUGCGGCAGGGGAAUGACCAGUUUGAAUGUGGGCAGGAGGGUGCAGGGAGGCGCGGCUCGGGCAUCUGUGUUGGCCAGUGUGUAAAGGUCAGCAUUUCCAUUAAAGCCCAUCUCACAAGCAAGUGUCCUGCCUUGGGUGUGAUACCUGUAGGAAGUCCACCCUUUCACCUGUUUCCCCUCCCGGCAUUGUUGGGGGCUUCAGAGGAAUGCUCUCACCGCCCACAAAUCUGUGCAAGUAGUCACUUGUCACUCCUGCCCCAGGAGAUUCUGCCAGGGACCUCUUGCCGUCCUGUGCAUGGCUUCCCUGGGCUGCUGCUACUCUCUCUGUGUUGCCUCAGGUGCCCAGGCUCUUUCCUCAGCUCCCCAAAUUGCAGCCAAGUCCAGGCUGUGAGGUUUUUUUUCAGCCAGGCACAGGGGUCCUCCAGGGAAAUUGCAGCGUAGAGAGGUUGCUGCAGGUGUUAAUGCUUCUUCCCUGGGAGACCCUGGUGGGCUUUCUCUCCCUGGCCCUGACCUGGCAUCCUUCCUUGUCUCUGGUGGACUUUGGGCUACCUCCUCCACAGCCGGAGUCAAACCCCAUGCCUUUCUCUGGGUCCCAGUGUAAAGAAAAAAAUGAUCUCAUACCCAGACGACAGCAUCAUACCCUCUCAGACACGGAAUUCCACCCACAAUGAAGACAAAGCUGACAUGAGUUUGCAGGAAUGUUAGCUUCUUGGACUUCACAUUUCAUUCCAGGAUACAAUUUUGGCUUUUCCUUUGGGCCGAAACACUCACUGAAGUAUUUUCCCCAAAGAAGAGUUGUCUUUCGUCAGUGACAAGUUAGAAAAAAGGCUGAAAGCUUUCAAAUAACAGCUUCCGGACAAGCAGCAAACGCUUAUUUUUAAACCAUCUGCCCGUGAUGGAAUGAGAGGACCCAUGAGUGACCAAGGCUACCUGUUUUGUCUUUUGCGGGUGGGAUCAGCGUCCCUGAGUCAAAGAGACAUGAGGAGAAUUGUUAAGCAGAAUUGAGAAUCUUCAAGAAAGAGAGGACAGGUGGAACAGUUGCUGAGUAGGUAGCCAGCCGUGUCUCCUACACCUGUGCUCGCUAUUACCUACUGUGAGUACCUGUUGUGUUAGCUAUAUAAUGCUGUGUAAUAAAUUACCUCAAAACUUAGCACCUUACGCACAAAGAUUUUGAGGGUCUGGAAUUCAAGUGUGGCUUAACUGGGUGGAUUGGGCUUGGGUCUCUUGCAGUCUCACCUGAAGGCUUGACUGGGGCCGGAGGAUCUGCUGCCAAGAUGGCUCCCCUGCAUGACUGGCAAGAUGAUGCUGACUGUUGGUACCUCUCAAUGGUGCUGCUUGAGUGACCUCAAGACACGGCAGCUCGCUUGCCCAGAGUGAGUAAUUUAAGCAAGCACAAGGUGGAAGACGCUAUGUUUUUUACGACCAGCCUUGAAAGUCACUUACCUACAUUUCUGCAUUAUCCAUUUGCUUACACAGGCCAGCCCAGCUCAGUGUGGGAGAGACCACACGACUAUGUGACUAUCAGGAGGUGGGAAUGUUGCUGUCAUUUUGGAUGGUGGGCACCAAACCUGCAUUGAGCUCCUGACAUAUUAUUAUUAUUUGAUCCUGUCCAAAAUCAAUGAAGACACUCUCACGUUGUCUUGGUCUUUUAGCAUCUACUUUCAAACAGACGUUAUAACUUUUUAAAUCAAAGUUAACUGCUUUUGUUUAAAAAAAAAUUCUUGUUUGAGACCUUAAAAUUUUUUUUUACCCAAUACAUGAAAAUUAUUGACUUAAAUUUAACUAUUUAAAAAUUUAUAAAAAUGUAACUCGUCAAGUGCUACCCAACUCAACUCUGAUUUCGGGAAUUAUAUUUAAGGUGGAUACAUUUUACCACAUGACAUAAUAUGAAAGGUUUAAUAUUUGGCUGUGGCAGCCAAAGCAAGAACGUCUGGGGCCCACAAAGGGCUUAAAAUGGCCCUGCUCUUGCUUUUUUUUUUUUCCUUUUUAAAGUGUAUUUUAAAACAGAUUGGAAUUUUUUCUUCAAACGUUUUCUGGCCAAAAGAGAAAUCUGAAACUUUUGGGAAUAAAUUGUCUGUGGCAUCCACAUGAUAAUUCUGGAUGGAAGGGAUGAAAAAGAAUUACUAGACAACAGAUCACUUGAGACACUGCUGUUUCCCUGGCACAUAGCCGCAUUUAUUAAGUGUGGGAUAUAGCCUGUAUGGGCUUGUCAUUAGUAGUCCUCAAGACAAGAUAGUUAUAAAAGAAAAAAAAAAAAAAAAAAGCCCGUUACUGUCGAGUUGAUUCUGACUCAUAGCAACCCUGUAGGAUCUUUAAAUGAUUCCUACUGAGCCUCCUAAUUUGCUUGAAAAAAAAAAAAACAAAGCUAGAUUAAGAGCCGUGUUCUUCUAUUA